CGUUGCCAGGUUGCUGGUAUUAGAAGGAAGGGCUCAUCGCUUCUCAGCCUUUUGGCUAAGAUCAAGUGUAGAAGGAAGGGCUCUUGGAAGG
rnacentral:miRNA from 1 species